rnacentral:rRNA from 1 species
AACGAACGCUGGCGGCAGGCUUAGCACAUGCAAGUCGAGCGCCCCGCAAGGGGAGCGGCAGACGGGUGAGUAACGCGUGGGAAGCUACCCAUCUCUACGGAAUAACGCAUGGAAACGUGUGCUAAUACCGUAUACGUCCUUCGGGAGAAAGAUUUAUCGGAGAUGGAUGAGCCCGCGUUGGAUUAGCUAGUUGGUGGGGUAAAGGCCUACCAAGGCGACGAUCCAUAGCUGGUCUGAGAGGAUGAUCAGCCACACUGGGACUGAGACACGGCCCAGACUCCUACGGGAGGCAGCAGUGGGGAAUAUUGGACAAUGGGCGCAAGCCUGAUCCAGCCAUGCCGCGUGAGUGAUGAAGGCCCUAGGGUUGUAAAGCUCUUUCACCGGUGAAGAUAAUGACGGUAACCGGAGAAGAAGCCCCGGCUAACUUCGUGCCAGCCGCCGCCGUAAAAC